ensembl:processed_transcript
CGGAUCUAUUGACGCAUUCUGUCCAUAAAGCAACAUUAGGGUAGGCGACAUUUAACGUAUAUAUCUAUGGACGCUAACUAGUAUUCACGUCGUAUCAUGCUCAACUCUUAAUACUCUUUUACGCACUUUGAGAGUGUUUGCGUUAUUUCAGAGAGAUAUUUAAGCACAUAUGAAGUAACAGUGCCAUCUGUGUACUAUAGCUACACAAUGCAGCAUUUAGCUCGCUCGUAAACAUCGCUGCUGUCCUCAGAUCAUUGUCUGAGCAGAAGUUUCAUCAUUAGCCCUGCCUGUCAGAUGCUCUUCAUCUCAGGAGCUGUAUUUUUAGAUGCUUGAUAACAGAUAUAAGGUGAGUUAAUAGAACACAGCCAGGAACUCUUCUGCGCGAGUCAGCGUGACGUGCGUGCGCGGGCUCAUCAUUUGAAUUAAAUAACGGACACAAGCAACGGGCGGAACGGUAAUGAAAGUUUCGCUGGAAUCUCCAAUUGAAAACAUCAUCGUGUGCGCUUAGACUUCUGUUCCAGUUCUGACUACACACCACUCUGCUUAUGUGGAUCACUGACUACUAUGUUCUCUGAAGUGGGGGAAACCGGAGCACCUGGAGGAAACCCACGCAAACUCCACACAGAGACGCCAACUGAUCCAGCCAAGGCUCGAACCAACGACCUUCUUGCUGUGAGGCGCCACUGCAGCGCAGUACCAGAAGCAGGUGCAGCCAAACUGCGACACAACAGCCACGGAAUUUACAGGGCCGUGAGAGAUCACCUGUACGGUCUGGCGGUGGCAGACGCAGAGCGGAAAAACUAUCUGAUGCUUUUGUUGUUGUUAAUGUUAAAUUGACCAAUACAUGUUUUGUCAUUACUUUUGUCU